CCUGCUGUUUCCUUGAGACUGACCAGGUGAAUCCAGGUGAAAGCUAUGAUCCCUUAUUGAAGGAUUUUCAAGCCUUGAGACAUAGAUUGUGUACGUGUGCCAAUCAGAUGGUGAAUGGGCAAGGCAAAAGACUUGUGUGUCUUUGAACGGGUUAUGGUAGGUGCCAGGCGCACCGGUUCGUGCCAAUCAGAUGGUGAAUGGGCAAGGCAAAAGACUUGUGUGUCUUUGAACGGGUUAUGGUAGGUGCCAGGCGCACCGGUUCGUGCCAAUCAGAUGGUGAAUGGGCAAGGCAAAAGACUUGUGUGUCUUUGAACGGGUUAUGGUAGGUGCCAGGCGCACCGGUUCGUGCCAAUCAGAUGGUGAAUGGGCAAGGCAAAAGACUUGUGUGUCUUU